CCACAAAUAUAUAACAUAAUCGGAAAUGUCGAGACCCGAAGUACAAGCAAUACACAAUAACCCAUUGCAGGAACCGACUAUUUGGAUAGACCCAGAAGGCAAAUCAAAGGGAACUUCGAUCUCAGAAAUCCUAUCAAAGGUGCGGUCAAAAGCGACCGUACAAACUGCUCUGUUAGAAGAAUUUGUAUUCCAUGGCAUGUGUAUGAUAUAACCAUCACCAUUAUCAUUAUCAUGAUCAUGAGCAAAGUUAUUGAGGUGAGUUGAGAUGAAAUUGGGGGUGGUGAUUGAGGAGUCCCAGGUUUUGCAAACGCACCUGAAUCUUAUGACUGAUUUGGCAGGUAGCCUUGUCAGGAUGUUGAGUACGAUGUCGUCUGGGAGAU